AGAAACUAAUACUGGCAGUCGACGAGAGACCUUCGGGUCUCUAGUGGCGAACGGGUGAGUAACACGUAGGGAACCCGCUCGAACACCGGGAAUACGCUCUGGAAACGGAGAACAAACCCUGAUGUACAGGAAGGAGGCAUCUUCUUUCUGUGAAACAUCCUCUAGGGGAUGGGGCGCGGAUGGACCUGCGGUGCAUUAGUUGGUUGGCGGGGUAAAGGCCCACCAAGACGAUGAUGCAUAGCCGGCCUGAGAGGGCGGACGGCCACAUUGGGACUGAGACACGGCCCAGACUCCUGCGGGAGGCAGCAGUAGGGAAUUUUCGUCAAUGGGCGCAAGCCUGAACGAGCGAUGCCGCGUGAGUGAAGAAGGCCUUCGGGUCGUAAAGCUCUGUUGCGGGGGAAAAAAGGCAGCAUCAGGAAAUGUUUGCUGACUGAUGGUGCCCCGCCAGAAAGUCACGGCUAACUACGUGCCAGCAGCCGCGGUAAUACGUAGGUGGCGAGCGUUAUCCGGAAUGAUUGGGCGUAAAGGGUGCGCAGGCGGUCCUGCCAGUCUGGAGUGAACCGCAUGAGCUCCCCUCAUGCAUGGCUUUGGAUUCUGGAGGACUGGCAAGUAUGAAAGGCCGUUGGAAAUUCCUUUGGCAUACGGCACCAUGUCUAUAUUAUAUCAUUACCACUCCCACGCCCCCCCCCUCUUUUUUUCU
rnacentral:rRNA from 1 species